rnacentral:rRNA from 1 species
UAAAGCGAUUCAGCGGGUUACGAUUGACGGAGCGAAGCGACGUCAAAGCGUAUACAAAGUCGAGUCGGUUUAAGGAUACGUUCGUUGGGUAGGGGAGCGUUCUGUAAGCCUGUGAAGGUGGCCUGUGAGGGUUGCUGGAGGUAUCAGAAGUGCGAAUGCUGACAUAAGUAACGAUAAAGCGGGUGAAAAGCCCGCUCGCCGGAAGACCAAGGGUUCCUGUCCAACGUUAAUCGGGGCAGGGUGAGUCGACCCCUAAGGCGAGGCCGAAAGGCGUAGUCGAUGGGAAACGGGUUAAUAUUCCCGUACUUGGUGUUACUGCGAAGGGGGGACGGAGAAGGCUAUGUUGGCCGGGCGACGGUUGUCCCGGUUUAAGCGUGUAGGUGUGUGUUCCAGGUAAAUCCGGUUCACUUUAACACUGAGGCGUGACGACGAGGCACUACGGUGCUGAAGCAACAAAUGCCCUGCUUCCAGGAAAAGCCUCUAAGCAUCAGGUAACAUCAAAUCGUACCCCAAACCGACACAGGUGGUCAGGUAGAGAAUACCAAGGCGCUUGAGAGAACUCGGGUGAAGGAACUAGGCAAAAUGGUGCCGUAACUUCGGGAGAAGGCACGCUGACACGUAGGUGAAGUGAUUUACUCACGGAGCUGAAGUCAGUCGAAGAUACCAGCUGGCUGCAACUGUUUAUUAAAAACACAGCACUGUGCAAACACGAAAGUGGACGUAUACGGUGUGACGCCUGCCCGGUGCCGGAAGGUUAAUUGAUGGGGUCAGCGCAAGCGAAGCUCCUGAUCGAAGCCCCGGUAAACGGCGGCCGUAACUAUAACGGUCCUAAGGUAGCGAAAUUCCUUGUCGGGUAAGUUCCGACCUGCACGAAUGGCGUAAUGAUGGCCAGGCUGUCUCCACCCGAGACUCAGUGAAAUUGAACUCGCUGUGAAGAUGCAGUGUACCCGCGGCAAGACGGAAAGACCCCGUGAACCUUUACUAUAGCUUGACACUGAACAUUGAGCCUUGAUGUGUAGGAUAGGUGGGAGGCUUUGAAGUGUGGACGCCAGUCUGCAUGGAGCCGACCUUGAAAUACCACCCUUUAAUGUUUGAUGUUCUAACGUGGACCCGUAAUCCGGGUUGCGGACAGUGUCUGGUGGGUAGUUUGACUGGGGCGGUCUCCUCCUAAAGAGUAACGGAGGAGCACGAAGGUUGGCUAAUCCUGGUCGGACAUCAGGAGGUUAGUGCAAUGGCAUAAGCCAGCUUGACUGCGAGCGUGACGGCGCGAGCAGGUGCGAAAGCAGGUCAUAGUGAUCCGGUGGUUCUGAAUGGAAGGGCCAUCGCUCAACGGAUAAAAGGUACUCCGGGGAUAACAGGCUGAUACCGCCCAAGAGUUCAUAUCGACGGCGGUGUUUGGCACCUCGAUGUCGGCUCAUCACAUCCUGGGGCUGAAGUAGGUCCCAAGGGUAUGGCUGUUCGCCAUUUAAAGUGGUACGCGAGCUGGGUUUAGAACGUCGUGAGACAGUUCGGUCCCUAUCUGCCGUGGGCGCUGGAGAACUGAGGGGGGCUGCUCCUAGUACGAGAGGACCGGAGUGGACGCAUCACUGGUGUUCGGGUUGUCAUGCCAAUGGCACUGCCCGGUAGCUAAAUGCGGAAGAGAUAAGUGCUGAAAGCAUCUAAGCACGAAACUUGCCCCGAGAUGAGUUCUCCCUGAGACUUAGAGUCUCCUGAAGGAACGUUGAAGACGACGACGUUGAUAGGCCGGGUGUGUAAGCGCAGCGAUGCGUUGAGCUAACCGGUACUAAUGAACCGUGAGGCUUAACCUUACAACGCCGAAG